rnacentral:rRNA from 1 species
UACAGAGGGGGCAAGCGUUAUUCGGAAUUAUUGGGCGUAAAGGGCGCGUAGGCGGUUUUUUAAGUCGGAUGUGUAAUCCCCGGGCGUUAACCUGGGAACUGCAUCCGAGACUGGAAGACUAGAGUACUGGAGAGGGUGGUGGAAUUCCUCGUGUAGCGGUGAAAAUCCGUAGAUAUCAGGAGGAACACCGGUGGCGAAGGCGGCUGCCUGGACCGAUAUUGACGCUGAGACGCG